UACCGAGGGGGCAAGCGUUGUUCGGAAUUACUGGGCGUAAAGGGCGCGUAGGCGGCCUGCUAAGUCGAACGUGAAAUCCCCGGGCUCAACCCGGGAACUGCGUCCGAUACUGGCAGGCUUGAAUCCGGGAGAGGGAUGUGGAAUUCCAGGUGUAGCGGUGAAAUGCGUAGAUAUCUGGAGGAACACCGGUGGCGAAGGCGGCAUCCUGGACCGGUAUUGACGCUGAUGCGCGAAAGCCAGGGGAGCAAACGGG
rnacentral:rRNA from 1 species